AAUGAAUUGUCGAAAGUUAUAUUUGUCAAGUUAACAUUUCGAUAUAUUUAAUAAGUGUGAAAAAACUUACCUGCUUUUUUAUAGAAACGAGUUUAAUAAUGUUAUAAAUGGGGCAGCCAUAAUUUUUCCGGUCCGAUAACAUAGAAUAAAAAGAAAAAACACCGUCAACAUAUGUACAAACGGAUAUUUGACAAUAGUGUAGCUUGCAAAUUCUGAAUUUGAAAAUAUCUUGGGAAAACAGUAUAUUUUGCCUACUGCACCGAUCGUUCUUAUAGCAGCUAUAUGACGGAGUAGUCCGAUUCUGAUGUGCUUAAGCAUAUGUGUCUCUCUCUACACAUGAUAAUACAUUAAAAUAUCGAGUAUAGGCACCAGCUGCUUAAGGAUAACAUAUAUUAUUUUUAUAUAUCUUAUGUGCACUCGGUCCAUCUAGAAGCAAUAGGGCAAUCAAAUUCGUACAGCUGAGUAAUCAAUAAUUUUUCAAUUUUUAUGCUGCGAACGGACCUUGUGGCCAUUCGUUGUGCUUUGUUCAUGUGACCAAGCGGCAUGCAAACGUUUUCUGUAUUGUUGGCUGCAGCUGAAGGACCUGCACGGCCCGGCUGCCACGCCUACAGCACAACCAGUGCGUCGGGCAAGGAAAAAACAACUAUAUACAUAUAUGUUAUGUGUAUAUAAAAAAUAAAAUGGA